rnacentral:rRNA from 1 species
GACAGAGGAUGCAAGCGUUAUCCGGAAUGAUUGGGCGUAAAGCGUCUGUAGGUGGCUUUUUAAGUCCGCCGUCAAAUCCCAGGGCUCAACCCUGGACAGGCGGUGGAAACUACCAAGUUGGAGUACGGUAGGGGCAGAGGGAAUUUCCGGUGGAGCGGUGAAAUGCGUAGAGAUCGGAAAGAACACCAAUGGCGAAAGCACUUUACUGGGCUAUUACUGACACUGAGAGACGAAAGCUAGGGUAGCAAAUGGG